GACGAACGCUGGCGGCGUGCCUAAUACAUGCAAGUUGAGCGCUGAAGGUUGGUACUUGUACCGACUGGAUGAGCAGCGAACGGGUGAGUAACGCGUGGGGAAUCUGCCUUUGAGCGGGGGACAACAUUUGGAAACGAAUGCUAAUACCGCAUAAAAACUUUAAACACAAGUUUUAAGUUUGAAAGAUGCAAUUGCAUCACUCAAAGAUGAUCCCGCGUUGUAUUAGCUAGUUGGUGAGGUAAAGGCUCACCAAGGCGAUGAUACAUAGCCGACCGUAAAGGGUGAUCGGCCACAUUGGGACUGAGACACGGCCCAAACUCCUACGGGAGGCAGCAGUAGGGAAUCUUCGUCAAUGGACGAAAGUCUGACCGAGCAACGCCGCGUGAGUGAAGAAGGUUUUCGGAUCGUAAAACUCUGUUGGUAGAGAAGAACGUUGGUGAGAGUGGAAAGCUCAUCAAGUGACGGUAACUACUCAGAAAGGGACGGCUAACUACGUGCCAGCAGCCGCAGUAA
rnacentral:rRNA from 1 species